AUGUUAAAGUUCUUAUUUCAUGGUAUAACUUUGGUAUGCUUGGACCUAGAGUCUUCAAACUUGACAUGAAGGUUGGCCAGGAUUAACAGAUGACCACUGGUCAUUUCAAGGUCAUUCAUUUGAAGGUCAAGGUCACUGUGACCUUCAAUAUAAAAAAUGUUAAAGUUGUUAUAACUUUGGUAUGCUUGGACCUAGAGUCUUGAAACUUGACAUGAAGGUUGGCCAUAACUAGUUAGUAACCACUGGUCAUUUCAAGGUCAUUCAUUUGAAGGUCAAGGUCACUGUGACCUUGAAUGUAAAAAUGUUAAAGUUCUUAUUUCAUGGUAUAACUUUGGUAUGCUUGGACCUAGAGUCUUCAAACUUGACAUGAAGGUUGGCCAGGAUUAACAGAUGACCACUGGUCAUUUCAAGGUCAUUCAUUUGAAGGUGAAGGUCACUGUGACCUUCAAUAUAAAAAUGUUAAAGUUGUUAUAACUUUGGUAUGCUUGGACCUAGAGUCUUGAAACUUGACAUGAAGGUUGGCCAGAACUAGUAAGUAACCACUGGACAUUUCAAGGUCAUUCAUUUGAAGGUCAAGGUCACUGUGACCUUGAAUGUAAAAAUGUUAAAGUUGUUAUAACUUUGGUAUGCUUGGACCUAGAGUCUUGAAACUUGACAUGAAGGUUGGCCAGAACUAGUAAGUAACCACUGGACAUUUCAAGGUCAUUCAUUUGAAGGUCAAGGUCACUGUGACCUUGAAUGUAAAAAUGUUAAAGUUCUUAUUUCAUGUUAUAACUUUGGUAUGCUUGUACCUAGAGUCUUCAAACUUGAAAUAAAGAUUGGCCAGUACUAGAAGAUGACCACUGGUCAUUUCAAUGUCAUUCAUUUGAAGGUCAAGGUAACUGUGACCUUAAAUGUUAAAAUGUUAAAAUUGUUAUAACUUUGGUAUGCUUGGACAUAGAGUCUUCAAACUUGACAUGAAGGUUUGCAAGCACACUUAGAUGACCACUGGUCAUUUCAAGGUCAUUCAUUCUAAGGUCAAGGUCACUGUGACCUUGAAUGUAAAAAUGUUAAAGUUCUUAUAACUUUGGUAGGUAAAAAUGUUAAAGUUCUUAUUCCAUGUUAUAACUUUGGUAUGCUUGUACCUAGAGUCUUCAAACUUGACAUAAAGGUUGGCCAGUACUAGAAGAUCACCACUGCUCAUUUCAAUGUCAUUCAUUUGAAGGUCAAGGUCACUGUGACCUUCAAUGUUAAAAUGUUAAAAUUGUUAUAACUUUGGUAUGCUUGGACCUAGAAUCUCAAACUUGACGUAAAGGUUUGCAAGCACACUUAGAUGACCACUGGUCAUUUCAAGGUCAUUCAUUUCAAGCUUGGAUCAUAUUUAUGUGUCCAAUCUAUCUGCUAGAACUGGUGUGAUAGAAACCUUUUGGAGUGAUCAUAAGGCUGUCUGGAUUUCUGUGUAGGUAUGUGAAAGCAAAACAAUAAAUAGUAUUAUUUCAUCUAAGUUUAUUUUCUUACAUUUGAUAAUGAAAUUGAUGGAAACUUCAAACAAUAUGUUACUAAUUUGCUAAUAAAAAAAUUGAGAUCAAA